GUGAAGUGAUGAUAAAGUUUAUCCAUUCUCUGAGUGUUGCUGCUCUUCCCUUCCUGCCACAUCCAGAUCCCUGUUCUAGGGUCUCGAUGCUGUGUGGCCUCCAGACUCCUCCUAGCCUUGCAGCGUUCUGCUGGGGGCGGUGGUGGAUGUCAGGCUGGCCACUAGCAGGGCCUGGGUAGAACUAGCAGGGCCAGAGCCCCUGCCUUUGGGGCUCUGACUCAGCCAAGAAGAAUGAAACUGUCUGAUCAC